rnacentral:tRNA from 1 species
UUCCUGGAGGACUAGUGGUUAGGCCUCGGCGCUCUCAACACCGCAGCCAGGGUUCGAUUCCUGGCCAGGGAA